rnacentral:rRNA from 1 species
UACAGAGGUCUCAAGCGUUGUUCGGAAUUACUGGGCGUAAAGGGUGCGCAGGCCGCGCGGGCAGUCAAAUGUGUAAUCCAGGGGCUCAACCCCUGAACUGCGCUUGAUACUUCCGCGCUCGAGCUUUGGAGAGGAGUCUGGAAUUCUCGGUGUAGCAGUGAAAUGCGUGGAUAUCGAGAAGAACACUUAGGGCGUAGGCAAGACUCUGGACAAAUGCUGACGCUCAUGCACGAAGGCUAGGGUAGCGAACGGGG